AAACACGCUGGCGGCGUGCCUAACACAUGCAAGUCGAACGCGAAAGUCCCGCAAGGGAUCAGUAGAGUGGCAAACGGGUGAGUAACGCGUGGGUGACCUGCCUUCGAGCGGGGGAUAACGUUCCGAAAGGGACGCUAAUACCGCAUGACAUCCUGCCUUUCAAGAGGUGGAGAUCAAAGCUGGGGAUCGCAAGACCUGGCACUCGAAGAGGGGCCCGCGUCCGAUUAGCUAGUUGGUGAGGUAACGGCUCACCAAGGCGACGAUCGGUAGCCGGCCUGAGAGGGCGGACGGCCACACUGGGACUGAGACACGGCCCAGACUCCUUCGGGAGGCAGCAGUGGGGAAUUGUUCGCAAUGGGCGCAAGCCUGACGACGCAACGCCGCGUGGAGGAUGAAGAUCUUCGGGUCGUAAACUCCUUUCGAUCGAGACGAACGACUUCCGGAUGAAUAGUCCGGGAGAGUGACGGUACCGAGAGAAGAAGCCCCGGCUAACUCCGUGCCAGCAGCCGCGGUAAUACGGGGGGGCAAGCGUUGUUCGGAAUUACUGGGCGUUAAGGGCUCGUAGGCGG
rnacentral:rRNA from 1 species